UCUCUCUAUCUCUAUCUCUCGGCUCUUUCUCUCCCUACUCUCUCUGCUCUCUCUCUUUACUCUCUCUGCUCUCUCUCUUCGUUCUGCCGCCGCCGCUGCCGUUCAACGGCGCCGUCGCCGCCGGCGAGCGGCGCGGCCUCUCCUCCUCUCUCCCUGAACUCUUCCCCCCCCUCUUCUCCUCUAUCUCUCUCGCUCAAUCUCGGCCGCUGGAAAGGCACAGCAGCGCAACCACGCCGCCGCUCCGUCGCCUCCGCCUCUCUUCCAUGGCAGAUCCGCCGCCGCUGCAACUGGAUCUCGGCGAGCACCGUCGACUGGAAGCCGCUGGAGCUGCUGCUGCUUCGCCGGGAGUCGAGCUGUCGCCGCCUGGAGCUGCUGCUGCUCGCCCGGAGUCGCCGCUGGCUGGCCUGCGAUUGACGGCCAGCAGCUCGCUGGAGGAGCGCCGCCGUCAGCCGCUGCCGUUGGCAGCAAGAAUCCGGCAGCCGCCUCUCCUGGAGUCGCCGUCGCCGUGAGUCGCUGUGAGGAGCCGAGCACCGUCUCACAAAGAUCGGAGACAACCGCGGCUCCGUCGCCGUCCGUCAACCGCCGGCGACGACGAGCCACCGAGGCUGCCCUCCCCCUGACCUCGACUCACACACGCAAUCAGCCAACACAAAGGGUUUUUGUGCGAGAAUCAUAUACUGUAAUUGCUCAAAUAAAAGUUUUAACUCUUUCCUUGUAACUUCAGUUCACAAGUACAUAUUUAGUAACUGUAAAUCUAUGAAUUUGCUACUCAUUUUCUUCAUUUAUCAAAGCAUAUGUAAAUCUGAGUUAAUGAGCAUGUGUUGGUAUUCUGGAAUUGAUGUAUACAAUUGAAGGAUAAUAUAUAAAUUAGAAAUAUAAA